rnacentral:rRNA from 1 species
GCUAAGGCCCCUAAAUAGUUACUAAGUGAUAAAGGAGGUGGGAAGACUUAGACAACCAGGAGGUUUGCUUAGAAGCAGCAAUCCUUUAAAGAGUGCGUAAUAGCUCACUGGUCGAGUAAUCCUGCGCCGAAAAUGAAUGGGACUAAGUAAUUUGCCGAAGCUGUGAGAUAUUAAAAUAAAAAUAAAUUUAUAUCGGUAGGGGAGCGUUCUGUUUUAGAUUGAAGCGUUAGCGUAAGUGGACGUGGACGAAGCAGAAGUGAGAAUGUCGGCUUGAGUAGCGAAAACAUAGGUGAGAAUCCAAUGCCCUGAAAACCUAAGGUUUCCUCCGGAAGGCUCGUCCGCGGAGGGUAAGUCAGGACCUAAGGCGAGGCUGAAAAGCGUAGUCGAUGG